UAGAUACCCUGGUAGUCCACGCCGUAAACGAUGUCGAUUUGGAGGUUGUGCCCUUGAGGCGUGGCUUCCGGAGCUAACGCGUUAAAUCGACCGCCUGGGGAGUACGGCCGCAAGGUUAAAACUCAAAUGAAUUGACGGGGGCCCGCACAAGCGGUGGAGCAUGUGGUUUAAUUCGAUGCAACGCGAAGAACCUUACCUGGUCUUGACAUCCACAGAACUUUCCAGAGAUGGAUUGGUGCCUUCGGGAACUGUGAGACAGGUGCUGCAUGGCUGUCGUCAGCUCGUGUUGUGAAAUGUUGGGUUAAGUCCCGCAACGAGCGCAACCCUUAUCCUUUGUUGCCAGCGGUUAGGCCGGGAACUCAAAGGAGACUGCCAGUGAUAAACUGGAGGAAGGUGGGGAUGACGUCAAGUCAUCAUGGCCCUUACGACCAGGGCUACACACGUGCUACAAUGGCGCAUACAAAGAGAAGCGACCUCGCGAGAGCAAGCGGACCUCAUAAAGUGCGUCGUAGUCCGGAUUGGAGUCUGCAACUCGACUCCAUGAAGUCGGAAUCGCUAGUAAUCGUAGAUCAGAAUGCUACGGUGAAUACGUUCCCGGGCCUUGUACACACCGCCUGUCACACCAUGGGAGUGGGUUGCAAAAGAAGUAGGUAGCUUAACCUUCGGGAGGGCGCUUACCACUUUGUGAUUCAUGACUGGGGUGAGCGCAAAAAAAGAGAGAGAACACACAA
rnacentral:rRNA from 1 species